GAGGAUCUGACAGAAGAGAGUGGGCACAGAUAGCCCUAACAUUGCUUGUGUGUGGAGCGAUGCGUGCCCACCAUCUCUUUCAGUCAGCUCUC
rnacentral:pre_miRNA from 1 species